rnacentral:lncRNA from 1 species
CUGGAACAUGCUGGAAAUGCAGGACAAGAGCCAAGAUCGAUCUAGUUUAUGUUCACUCUGCAUAUUUGGAGAUCUCAGGAGCAUCAGGAGAACACAGAAACAGGUGGAGGAUGUGAAAGGUUACAGACAAAGACAAUGAUGCUGGAAAAAAAAAGAGCACACCAUAAAAAAGAAUUCCCACUGGAUGCUCAAGAGCAGAGGAUCUAUCAACUGCAGACCAAGCAGAGGCAGAGGCAGGCAGAACCGGAGCAAUAAUGCAGCCAGAUCCAGCAGCUCAGCCAGGAGCUGGAGGCCACCGUCAGCUGCAGGAGGAGGCUCGGACACAGUGUGGCUGAGGAAAAUCACAACACCAGCUGCAUGUAAGAAACUCCUGGAAAGAAGAACAAAGCCAUCUGUUCUCCAUGUCCACGAAGGCAUGCACAAGAACUAAUGGGUGUACCCUACAUCAAGAAAGAUUCAGGUUAGGAACAGCGUCUAAUGGAGAGGAGAACAAAGCAGGUGAACAGACUGCAAGGGGCCUGAGUGUUCUGCGUCACAGGAGAUCUUCAAGGACAGAUAAACAGAAGACAAGGCACCUGUAGGUUCCCCCGUCAUAGAACUGGAAGACAGGCCAUCAGCCUCUUGAGAUUCAUGCCAGCCUUGCUCACUUCCUAAACCCAGCUUUGUUUGUACCCAGAAACUCAUUUGUCUUCUUCAAAGCCCCACCACAGGGUCUCCUUUAGCAUUCAUAUGUUACCAACAUAUCACUUGCCAGGGUGAUUCUUCUCUCUAGAAAAGUGACUGCACGCUUGCUUCCUACCAUGGUUCACCUAACCUCCAAUGAGACUCAGUACCUGCUUUGUGUUGUAAAUGGUGUCCCAUCUUGAAAUGCACUGCCUGUGUUCCUGCACUGGAUAGUAGUGUUGAUCUGUGGGAGUAUUCUUUCCUCUUUCUUGGAACCUCAUUCUUAUGCUUCUGCAGGCUUGUUCACAGGAGACUGGCUGAAGAGCACACUCAUUGCUGUUUUCCCAGCAUUUUACCAUUGUGCCAGUGCAACGAGUCCCAUGGUCGCUCUCGAUGACUUCAGGUGUCCCGUAGGCAGCCAUCAGUUUGACUCUGGCCACGCUGCUGAUAAUUCGUAUUUGUUGAUAUUCCUCAGCAGCCAAACACACACAGUAUGCCCCAGACGGUACCCAGAUGUGAUUGGAGCCGAUACCCUCUUCCUGCGAACAGAGAAUUGCAAAUUAUCACUACAGCAGCAGAGGAAUAACCUUUACGGCUCAUUAAAAUUCCACAGAUUCUGCUCUGUUUUCCCUUCCGCGAACCCAAAGGGCACUGCUGGUGGAAUGGAAUUCCCCCCCCGCCCCCGCACCCGUCAGGUUCGGGCCGGGAUGUGACAUCUCCGUCUGUCCGCCGUCCCCGCCCGUGCCUGUGCCGGUAGGGGCGCCGGGCCCCACCAUGCGCCCCGAGGAGCCAUAGGACGGGGUCCGGCUCGGAGCCCUCCGCAUACGGUCGGGGAACGCGCUCUGCCGCAGCGUGCAGCCCCGCCGCGAGCCGCCUCUGAGCCGCGCCGCGCUCCCGCCGGGCGUUUUCCGUGACCGAGGCAGCGCCCCGGCUCCGCGAGCGGCCAAUCGAGACGGCAACUCCCGCCGGGCCCAGGAGGGGGCGCUGCGGCGCGGGCGGAGCGCGGGGCGGGGGCUGCCGGAGGGCUCCGGAGAACAAAGGUUCCGCGCUCCCCUCCGCAGCGCCGCGCCCCGGCGGGAGGAGCCACAGCCGCCACGGCCGCCAACGCGGGGAGCGCGGGGCGAGGGCGACCCCUGCCGGGCGCCGCUGGACAGACACAGCCGGGCGGGGGGAUCUGAUCUGACCGCGC